rnacentral:misc_RNA from 1 species
UCGCUCAAACAUUAAGUGGUGUUGUGCGACACUUA